GACGAACGCUGGCGGCGUGCUUAACACAUGCAAGUCGAACGGAAAGGCCCUGCUUUUGUGGGGUGCUCGAGUGGCGAACGGGUGAGUAACACGUGAGUAACCUGCCCUUGACUUUGGGAUAACUUCAGGAAACUGGGGCUAAUACCGGAUAGGAGCUCCUGCUGCAUGGUGGGGGUUGGAAAGUUUCGGCGGUUGGGGAUGGACUCGCGGCUUAUCAGCUUGUUGGUGGGGUAGUGGCUUACCAAGGCUUUGACGGGUAGCCGGCCUGAGAGGGUGACCGGGCACAUUGGGACUGAGAUACGGCCCAGACUCCUACGGGAGGCAGCAGUGGAGAAUAUUGCACAAUGGGCGGAAGCCUGAUGCAGCAACGCCGCGUGCGGGAUGACGGCCUUCGGGUUGUAAACCGCUUUCGCCUGUGACGAAGCGUGAGUGACGGUAAUGGGUAAAGAAGCACCGGCUAACUACGUG
rnacentral:rRNA from 1 species